ensembl:lncRNA
GGAGACACACUAAUCUUGUGGGGAGUCAGGUAGCCCCCAGUGGGCACACCAAGGCCCUGGGCUGGCCUAGGGGGCUCCGGGGGCCGUGUGGUCAGCAGUGUCUCUCGCUCCCACCCCCCGACCGUCUGUCUGGGCCUCUCUCCCACCCAGAAGAGGCGCCGUCUUCUGUGACCGGAGCUCUGGCACCAUCCCAGCCAGCUUCUCGACAGGGCAGGUGAACGCGGCUCUGUCCAGCCCCGAAGAAGGCUUCCUUCUCCUGAGGCAGGGUCACUCGGCCCAGGGCACCUGGUUUCAGAAGUCGUCUCUUCCUGCAGGUUCUAAACUCAAAAUAUAAAGCAGAGCUUCCACACUUGCAGGGCAGGACUCACAGCCUCCUGAUCAAAGAGUGACAGGAUUAUGAGGCAGCCUGGCCCCCAGAGAAAACCCAGCAUCACUGUACCAGAGGGAGGGAAGGCCCGGGACCCCACACCCUGCCCGAAAGGUGUGGUACAGGUGGCGGGCAGGGAGCUAGANNNNNNNNNNNNNNNNNNNNNNNNNNNNNNNNNNNNNNNNNNNNNNNNNNNNNNNNNNNNNNNNNNNNNNNNNNNNNNNNNNNNNNNNNNGUGGCAGAUAAGGCCGUGUCUCCAGAGUCGAAUGACAUGGGCUCAAAUCUGAAAUGUGUGCCCUUGAGUGAGUUAUUUACCCUUUCUGAGCUGCAGGAAAUGGAAGACAAGAAUCCUAGAAGUACCUGGAGAAAGAAGAAUGCUCACUGCAAGCACCAUGGAGUUACUGAAGACGCCAAAUACGAUGGCGCACACAAAGCAAGGGACGCUGUGAGCACUUGGUCUGUCCGUAACGUUUACGGCCUCCCCAGCUUCCUCCCCGUCAGGGAGGCCGGAGGUUCCUCUGGCGAAGCAGACUCUGUCUCUGAAGCCAGCCCCUGGCCUGGCCCACACUCCUGGGAGGAGCGGAGAGCCCCAAGAGAGAGGGCAGAGGGCACACAUCUUCCUGAAAAGAGGGUGGGGGGAGGGGGGAGAGGGCAGAAAAGAGCCCACCUCCCCACCCCCACCCCUUCCCAGCCUAAACCCCCAUCAGGCCCCAGUCGUAGACCAGAGCCCCAGACCCAGAGCCGGAGGUGGUGCCAGCCUCACUCAUCCACAGCCAUCAGGCCAGGUGGGGCUGGGGGCGGCGACCUCCUGCUGGGUGGAGCUGUUGAGGCACCCAAGCCUCUGGCUCACUGGAGCUCAACCCACUGGGGAGUAGGACCCUCUAAGGGGAUGUCGGUUCUGAAAACGUGCAUCCCUCUGCAGGUGUGAGUGUGGAGAAGGCUUCUCCCUUGCAUCCUCCACACAAGAUGCCAUCAGUCUGUGAGCUCACUGUACAUCGCUAUUACCCUGGAGGGCAGACAGUCUGCUCAAGUGAGGGGAGAGAGAGCUGUACCUUUAGUGUCCUGGAGCGUGAAGACCCCUGCUCCAGGGGCAGUCCUGCCUCAGCCUUGUCAGGAGACCUGCUUAUAGCAACGGUUUCCAAGGGGAGACCUUCUCAUGCUCCGGUGUGUAGAAACCCCCACGGGUCACAGCGUCCCAGAUUAUCACAAACAUUUAAGGGACACCCACUACUUCCCGGCGCUGAGAGUCAAAGGACCUGGGCACUGCCUGCCCUCACGGAGCUCCGGGGAGUCGGUGGGGCCUCACCCACCCAGACGAAGUAGGUAGCAUUCACCUUGACAGCCAGGUGCUAGAACAAAGAAACGGGUCCAGGAGUUAGGGGAGCUCUAGCGGAGCGACCCGGGUGGGUGACUUCAGUGAUGGGUACCUCUCCGCACCUGGAGCCCCGCCCCCCCCCCCGCCCCC